GGAAACGACUCGCUAAUACCGUAUGUGCCCUAUGGGGGAAAGAUUUAUCGCCUAAGGAUGGGCCCGCGUUGGAUUAGCUAGUUGGUGGGGUAAUGGCCUACCAAGGCGACGAUCCAUAGCUGGUCUGAGAGGAUGAUCAGCCACACUGGGACUGAGACACGGCCCAGACUCCUACGGGAGGCAGCAGUGGGGAAUAUUGGACAAUGGGGGCAACCCUGAUCCAGCCAUGCCGCGUGAGUGAUGAAGGCCCUAGGGUUGUAAAGCUCUUUCAGCGAGGAGGAUAAUGACGUUACUCGCAGAAGAAGCCCCGGCUAACUUCGUGCCAGCAGCCGCGGUAAUACGAAGGGGGCUAGCGUUGUUCGGAAUCACUGGGCGUAAAGCGCACGUAGGCGGAUUGAUAAGUUAGGGGUGAAAUCCCGGGGCUCAACCUCGGAACUGCCUUUGAUACUGUCAGUCUUGAGUCCGAGAGAGGUGAGUGGAACUCCGAGUGUAGAGGUGAAAUUCGUAGAUAUUCGGAAGAACACCAGUGGCGAAGGCGGCUCACUGGCUCGGUACUGACGCUGAGGUGCGAAAGCGUGGGGAGC
rnacentral:rRNA from 1 species